CUUACAAUUGCGAUGGGGGGGACGGAGAAGGCUAGGUGGGCCUGGCGACGGUUGUCCAGGUUCAAGUGCGUAGGCUUAAGAGUUAGGUAAAUCCGGCUCUUUCUAAGGCUGAGACACGACGUCGAGCACCUACGGGUGUGAAGUCAUUGAUGCCAUGCUUCCAGGAAAAGCCUCUAAGCUUCAGGAUGGAG
rnacentral:rRNA from 1 species